UUGGUGGUGAAAUCCCAGAGCUUAACUCUGGAACUGCCAUCAAAACUUUUCAGCUAGAGUAUGAUAGAGGAAAGCAGAAUUUCUAGUGUAGAGGUGAAAUUCGUAGAUAUUAGAAAGAAUACCAAUUGCGAAGGCAGCUUUCUGGAUCAUUACUGACACUGAGGAACGAAAGCAUGGGUAGCGAAGAGGAUUAGAUACCCUCGUAGUCCAUGCCGUAAACGAUGUGUGUUAGACGUUGGAAAUUUAUUUUCAGUGUCGCAGCGAAAGCGAUAAACACACCGCCUGGGGAGUACGACCGCAAGGUUAAAACUCAAAUGAAUUGACGGGGACCCGCACAAGUAGUGGAGCAUGUGGUUUAAUUCGAAGAUACGCGCAGAACCUUACCAACACUUGACAUGUUCGUCGCGACUCUAAGAGAUUAGAGUUUUCGGUUCGGCCGGACGAAACACAGGUGCUGCAUGGCUGUCGUCAGCUCGUGUCGUGAGAUGUUGGGUUAAGUCCCGCAACGAGCGCAACCCUCACUUUUAGUUGCCAUCAUUUAGUUGGGCACUCUGAAAGAACUGCCAGUGAUAAGCUGGAGGAAGGUGGGGAUGACGUCAAGUCCUCAUGGCCCUUACGUGUUGGGCUACACACGUGCUACAAUGGCAUCUACAACAGGAAGCAAAACGGCAACGUUAAGCAAAUCCCGAAAAGAUGCCUCAGUUCGGAUUGCACUCUGCAACUCGAGUGCAUGAAGCUGGAAUUACUAGUAAUCGUGGAUCAGCGUGCCACGGUGAAUGCGUUCCCGGGUCUUGUACACACCGCCCGUCACACCAUGGGAGUUGGUUCUACCUUAAGGCAAGGUUUUAAACCCUUGACCACGGUAUAGUCAGCGACUGGGGUGAAGUCGUAACAAGGUAACCAAGGGC
rnacentral:rRNA from 1 species